UCCCGAUGACUCUCUCUCUCUCUCCCUCUCCCGACGACUCUCUCUCUCUCUCUCUCUCUCUCUCUCUCUCUCUCUCUCUCUCUCUCUCUCUCUCUCUCUCUCUCUCUCUCGCGGGACUCUCAGCUUCUUCCUACCCCUGACUCUCUCUCUCUCUCGCGCGAGCUGUCAUUAAUUGUAGGGCUUAGAUGAAGAUCUGAAACAGUUUUUUUAUCUGAAUUCUGUUGGAUUUUGUGACGGGUGGAGUUUUUCAAUCUGAAUUCUGUUCGAUUUGCAGUUUUAUAACCCAUUAGG